ensembl:lncRNA
CAACUACAGAGUCUCCAACAACAACAACAGAGGCUACCACCACAACUACAGCAGUCGCAACCACUACUACAGCUGCUCCAACAACCACUACAGAGUCUCCAACAACCACUACAGAGGCUACAACCACAACUACAGCUGUCGCAACUACUACUACGGCUGCUCCAACAACCACUACAGAGUCUCCAACAACAACAACAGAGGCUACCACCACAACUACAGCAGUCGCAACCACUACUACAGCUGCUCCAACAACCACUACAGAGUCUCCAACAACCACUACAGAGGCUACAACCACAACUACAGCUGUCGCAACCACUACUACAGCUGCUCCAACAACCACUACAGAGUCUCCAACAACAACAACAGAGGCUACAACCACAACUACAGUUGUCGCAACUACUACUACAGCAGCUCCAACAACCACUACAGAGUCUCCAACAACCACUACAGAGGAUACAACCACAACUACAGCAGUCGCAACCACUACUACAGCUGCUCCAACAACCACUACAGAGUCUCCAACAACCACUACAGAGGCUACAACCACAACUACAGCUAUCGCAACCACUACUGCAGUUACUCCAACAACCACUGCAGAGUCUCCAACAACGACUACAGAGGCUACAACCACAACUACAGCUGCCCCAACUACAACAACAGUUGCUGCAACAACAACAACAGAGUCUCCAACAACAACGACUACAGAGGCUACAACCACAAGUACAGCUGUCGCAAUCACUACUACAGUUACUCCAACAACCACUACAGAGUCUCCAACAACGACUACAGAGGCAACAACCACAACUACAGCUGCCCCAACUACAACUACAGCUGCUGCAACAACUACAGAGUCUCCAACAACAACAACAGAGGCUACAACCACAACUACAGUUGUCGCAACUACUACUACAGCUGCUCCAACAACCACUACAGAGUCUCCAACAACCACUACAGAGGCUACAACCACAACUACAGCUGUCGCAACUACUACUACGGCUGCUCCAACAACCACUACAGAGGCUACAACAACAACGACAGAGGCUACAACCACAACUACAGCUGUCGCAACCACUACUACAGCUGCUCCAACAACCACUACAGAGUCUCCAACAACAACAACAGAGGCUACAACCACAACUACAGUUGUCGCAACUACUACUACAGCAGCUCCAAC